AGGAGGUUGCCUGGUCCCAGAUCCGUUUGUGCUUUUGCCUACUCUAUUGUCAUUGCCAAGCCAAACAUUGUUGGUAUGGCAAUUCAAUGAAGAUUUGGAAAGAGAGCACUAACAAAUGAUACCCAGGCUAUGGAGCAGGCUCCAUAUGGGAAGAAGGAAUUUCCCGCUCUUUUUCUCUUAUUUUAUUACUGUAGUAGUAAAUUACAUUUUCACCAUGUCUCCUGCACUCUUUAACUCUCUGUUUAUUCUGCUCAUAUUCAUCCCUAAUGGGCUCUCUCAGUUGGUGAGAACACAGCAGGUUGUCACAGCAACCCUGGGAGAAGAUGCAGUCUUAAACUGUGAGCUCAUGAAACCCAAAGACUUGCGGCAAGUCACCUGGCAAAAAGAGACAACUGGGGCGAAUGAAAAUGUGGCCACUUACAGCAAACGAGGUCCCGAUGUCAACCUACCUUUUCAGGGGAAAGUGGAGUUUGAAGACGAGGGACUGCAGAACUGUUCUAUUGUCAUCAGAGGAGUGUCAAGAGGAGAUGAGUCCUGCUACAAGUGUCUGUUUAACACCUUUCCAGAUGGACCUAUCAGUGGAAGGACCUGCCUUCUUGUAAAUGAGCUGUAUGGACCCUCACUCCUCAUCACACAAACCAACAACAGUCACACCACUCUGUCCUGUUCUGCUACUGGACGACCUGUUCCUAUAGUGACCUGGGAUGACAUAAUGAUAGAACAUUCCACCAUGGUUGAUGUCACCCAUCCCAAUGGAACGGUCACUAUGACAACUACUGUAACAGUGGUAGUGUCCAGUCUAACUGACAAAGAAGUUAGGUGUGUUGCUUCUAUGUUCUUCAGUGAUGUCACCAAGAAUGCUUCCAUGGUGAUUCCAGCUUCAAUUACUGGUCAAUCUCAGGUCUCUGAUGAUGACAGGAUCAGUGGUGCAGUGGUUGGUGCAGUGAUGGGUUCAGUGUUGUGUUCAGUGUGUCUCAUUGCUGUAUUCUGUGUAAUAUGGCUGCAAAAGAGGAGAAAAGAUACCUCUUCCAGAAAACCCCCAGUUCCUGACCCUGAAAUCAGCCCAACUCCCUAAAAGACACCAGCAACAUCCAAACAUGUCACACCAACCUCCAGUCCAUCACAAAUGUGAGUAUCUCUUCCACAUUUUUAACAGCUUUUUAAGAUAAGUAAUAAUUUUAUUACCUUCAUACUCGUCAACCAGCUCACCAAACAGCUCAACAAUGAAGCGUAGGAUGACUAAGAAGUAGGUUUACUUUCUCAUACUUUCAUAGUCUCUUAAUGUCUUCUGUAAUCUCUCUCAUUGAUCAAGAAACUUGGGAAUGAAACUUGGAAAUGUAUUUCUGUGGUGUAUGUUUCCUGCCGGUACAUUGUCUGGUUUGAUCUCUUUCACACCAAGCUCCAGUCCGUCACAAAUCUCGUCUGAGAAGCGCAGGAUACAACCAGCUCAGGAGGCUGUAAAGAAGAACCUUUUCAAUGACUACUGAGUGACUGUACUCAUAUUGCCACACACACCUGAUCAUUACUGACUAAUCUGGUUCAUGUUAUUUUAUCUUUAAAAGUCUGUGACAAAUCAAUCUGUUUUUUUUAAAAGCAAUCCUUUUUAAGAUGUUGUUUUGAGACUGUCAUAACAGUUAUCUUAGUUGCCUGGUUUGGCUCAGGUCAUGAUACCCUAGGGCCUAGGGAGAGUUGUGCAGGUCAGUUUAGAGAUUGUAAGGAGAAAACAAAAAGCUCUCCGAGACAUUUACAAAGACCACACACGUAAGAGGGGAAGAGCAAUCGUAUUGGACACUUCCACUGAACAAUCAAUAUGCAGUUCUGCUAUUAGGUAACACUCAGGUUUUGACCUCUUAAAACCAAGAGAGACAGCAUCAGUACUGCUUUUAAAUGUUUAUCUUGUAUAUACCUUGUAAGCAUGUGCAUCUGUCAUGUGUGUUGCUGUUUCUUUAUCUUGUGUGACGUGCCACAACUGAUGCUCCUUCUGGAAAAUGUUUCAUUUAUUAUAUUAAAUUUAAGGUUUCAAAGGGAGGGUAUAUUAUCAGUAAACUACCAGAAUUUUGGUAACUUUCAAGUUUUGGGGGGAAUUUUAUAAGAUCACAUCAAGUGAGCAUUUUUGGGUACUUCAGAUUAUCACAUAUCUGUAAUUAUCUCUGGCCCUCUGUGUAGCCUUAUAUGUGAAUCAAUUUUUAGUUAUUCAAGUAUAAGUGACCAAAGUUGCCAUGCUUCUCAUAAACGUCUUAAUGAUCGGACCAAACUGCAGCGGGUAUCGUGCUCAUCUUCCUUUUUUAUUUGGAUAAACGUGAACACUUAACAAAAAAUAACAAACACCGACGACGACGACGACGAAAAACAGUCCCGUAAGGCUACACAGCUAUACAUGGAACAACCACCCACAAAACACAAGACAAAAACCCCUAUUUAAAUAUGGCCUCUAAUCAGAGGCAACGAGAUACAGCUGCCUCCAAUUAGAGUCCAAUCCCAAACAAUACCACAUAGAAAUAGAAAUACUAGAAAAUC